CACGGGAUGAAGCUUCCUCGCCACACUGCCAAUGCCCUCCACCGUUGUCACGGCAACCAGGUGCAGCGAGCAGAGCGGGGCGAGGCAGGCGUUGACGGCGUAAUGUCUGCAGACAACACCCGCUCCGUGUGCGGUUGGGGUCGUGACAGCAUGACGGUGCAGGCGCCACAUCCACCUUCAGCACAGCCCAGCUUGGUUCCUGUCAGACCCACUAAGGACAGACACAGGUCAGUGAUAAGACCUCCGGACCUCAGGGACGUCCAGACCUCAGGACCACAGAGACCCUGAAACCUAAGUACCUCAGGACCUCAGAGACUUCCAGACCUUAGGACCUCAGAGACCUUGAGGGCCUUGAGACUUAAGACCUCAGAUAUCUCAAGAAACCGCAAGACCACCAAGAUCACAGAAACCUCAUUAUCACACAGACCUGAUACCUCAAUACCUUGGGGACCUCGGAGUCCAUAACACCUCAGAGAAUGUGAGACUUAUUGCGCGUUUCCACCGAGCGGUAUGGUACGCUAUGGGUCGGGUCGGUACGGGUCGGGUCUGUUAACCAUGAUUUGGCGAGCGUUUCCACCGCUUACAGUACCCUUACUUGAUAGGCGUGGUAUAUUCCAGAAACUGUGCCAGGUACCCCAACGGAAGGGUACCCAAAAAGUGGUACGGUACGGUUUUGGCAAUGGAGACACAAAUAAAAGGGUACCGCCCCGACCCGUACCGUACCGCUCGGUGGAAACGCGCCAUUAUAGAUCUCAAAGACCUGAAAAAACCUCAGAGACAUCAAUAUCUCAAAGCCUCAAUACCAUGAGACCAUGAAACAAUGAAUAUGUGAUAGUGGGAGAUAAUAGGUCCUCAUCUUACUUGUGGACUUCAUUACCAUCUCUACUGGAACACCCGGUAACUCUAUCAGAAGACUUAACUGGUCUGAGCUUACUCUAGGACCAUUGGUUUCUCCUUAAGGACACAAGGUUCUAAAGGGUCCUUGUGUGGGUUUUGAGGUUUAAUGAAUAAGUCAAUAAACUUGUGAAGUUGUGAAACAGGAAACCUGAUGGGACCAGAACAAGUGGGUAUCUGAAGCCACAAGGUCCUUGGAAGGUUUGUUAAAGACGAUCCAGAAUUUUGGUCUCAAAUGAGCCUUGAAAAGGUUCUGAGGGUUUCUGUUAAAGAACCACUGGUACCGGUGGCUCAUCCAGUUCUAAACACUGGUGCUCACAUACCAUGCUGUGAAUGGAUGGGGUCCAGGUUGGACCAGGUCCUGGAUGUAAGACCUGGUCCAACCUGACAUCCUGACCCGCACUCUCCGCUCUGCAUGUGAUAAACUGCUUGUUCCUCCUCACUGAGAGCAAAACACUCGACUAGAUCUCCACUCUUUGCUGUCCUGCUCCUAAAUGGUGGAAGGAGGUCUGUGAAGACAUCAGGACCACAGAGAGUCUUUACAUCUUCAGACUAAAGACACACCUC
ensembl:lncRNA